rnacentral:lncRNA from 1 species
CUUGUAUUUCACAUUGUCCGAUACUUAAUGCAAAAAUAUCGUACUGAAUCCUGAACUUGUAUCUCACAUGUAAAAUAUCAUACUGAAUAAUGCCAUAAUUCAUUGUGUUAAAUAUCGUGCUUGUGGAAACAUAGUAUUAACUGAUUACAAAAGAAGAACAAGAGUGUUUGCUGAAGUUAAGAUGACAAAAGUUUUUCUGAGACAUGGGCCUUUUCUGGUUAAAUGACACGUAACCAUAUACACAGACAAGCAUUUGACCCCUCUCAUCAGAGAGCUGGAGUCUGCUGGUUUUGUUGUGGUACCCGUAAAGAUCAAAAGGAAAGAUGCUUGUCAACUCGUCAUUGACAAUGACAUUGUAUGGUCACGCAGUCUCAAUUUGUUCCAAACAGUUGAUAGAAAGAAGAAUGAUCCAUUGAUACGAGAAGCUGUAAAUGCAUGUAUAUCUACAAACGGAACUGCAAAGGUUUAAGUCAUGGCUGUCAAACGGACAUAUAUGGAAGUCAAGACUAUUACAGAAGGGCAUAUAAGAGUGUAAAGAUUUUUGCAAUCAGAACGUUUAUUCUUCCACACACGUACCUGCAGAAAUAUAGAGGUAACCAAUCGCAUGUCUUCAAUAUCAACGAAUGUACUCAAACGAAAAAUGACAAUCAACAUUUUAUAAUAGCAUGUAGUUCUUUCUGUCUAAUAAGGUAAUGAAAUAGCUGCACGACUUUAAAGUAACAUGAUAAAAGUUAUGAUGUUUUUGUUAGAAACUAUGGUAACAAAUACUGAUGUUGCUUAAUCAUGUUGAAAACAGUUGUGUGUAUAUUAAAUAAAAAGCUGAAAAACUGUU